ACACGCACACACACAUCUCGAUGCGCGUCAGGCGAGGCAAUGAACUUGGAACUUAGAUCCCACGUUGUCAUGCAGAUGGGUGAAGUUGCACUUUUGAACUGAAACAUCUAAGUGAAGAACGUUUGGAGACGUCACGACGAGACAUUCUUGAUGUUGUAUUUUAUUUGUUCUUUGGUCGUCGUAGCAGUUUUCCUAUGAUGUCAUUAUUGUACGCACGGAGGAUGGAGGGAUGACAUAAGUGGAAAGGAUGGCAGAGGGGCAAAAUGAAGGAGAGAUGACAAGCAAAGAAGCCAGUUGGAGGGAUGAUAGCGCAGAAGAGAAAGGAUGGAGGGAUGACUGGACGAAUGAUCAGAGGAGGACAGGUCGAAGACGGGGACAACAGAGGAGAUGAGAUGAAAAUUCGUUACUCCUCACUUUUCUCCUCCUCCUCCAUGUUUCCAGGCUUCUCCUGAACCCCGAACCCCUAUGUGACGGACAGCUCUCUUUGCCCGCCCUCCCUCCCCCAUCUGUCUCUCUUUUGAUCCCAGCAUUCCUCCUCCUUCUCCUCCAUCAUCCCUCGCUCUGUCUGCCUCCCUCAUUCCCACUGAUCCCACUGGAGACAAUGACUGGUGGCCAGCUGGUACCCGCGCACACACACGCGCGCACGCAUUCACAGGGGGCCUGGGGUGACAGCUUUGAGAGGAUGUUUAUUGUUACCAACAUGACUUUAAUCAGAUUUUACCUUCUCGACACACACACACACGCGCACGCACACACACAUUGUAUCAGCAUUGGUGUCAAUGAUGACCAAAACGACGCGACAUGGGGAAUUAUGGCCACAGUAUAAAUAUAAUCUGAGCACAAAAUGCAAAUUUGUGGCCACAAAGUAGAUGUGAUGUGUGCACAGAGUACAAAUGAAUAAUAUUACGAUCAUUCACGGACAGACGGGUCAGCAAAUCCAACGCACCUGCCCUAGAAACGGUAAGGCAGAGAACGUGGACUCUAUUGGAGUUCCGCGUUGGGCGCGAGGUGGCGUGUUGACUUCCAGUCCCCAAAUAAACGUAAAAGAGAGAAACGUGUUCAAACUCCAAGCCGCAUAUGAAUUAUUAUUAAUAUAUUGGUAUUUUGUGUGCGCAUUAUACCUGUUCCCGUAGCCACAAAAUAGCAUAUAGCAGCUCCAAUUUAGAUAUUUUCAGUGCGCACAUUCGAACUUUAGUGUGACCCCAAUUGAAUGUUUUUCCCACAUCAUGUGCAUCUCACAGUAAAAAAUAAAAUCCUCUCUAAAAUAA